AUGGCAGGAGGUGAUUUUAAUGAGAUCUUGUACUCACACGAGAAGGAAGGCGGCCCUCCGAGACCAAUGAAUAUGAUGCAAAAUUUUCGAGAUGCACUGGUAGACUGUGAGUUGGAGGACAUGGGGUUCACCGGUGAUCAGUUCACUUGGAGGAGACGUAGACUGCGUGAACGUUUGGAUAGAAGUGUUUGCAACGGCCAAUUCCAUGGCUUAUUUCCUAGCGCCAAGGUCACUAAUACCUCACAUACUAAGUCAGAUCAUAGACCUGUACUAAUUGAUACUGAUGGUGACGUUGCCGGUGAUCAAGUCCGUGCCAAAAUUAAACAGUUCGAGGCCCGCUGGCUUAAAGAGGAGGAUGUGAAGCAGCUAGUUUCAGAUGCAUGGGAUAGAGCCGACCCACACGCAUCAUUGGCGGACCGUACCGCGGCAGUGCAUGCUCAAAUGCAUAUAUGGGACAGAGAGAUCCUUAAGGCGCCUCACAAACGUCUUAAAGAUUUGAAGGCGGAGCUGGAAAAUUUGCGGUUGGGCCCUCUCACUGAUGAGUCGGCGGACCGGCAAAGAAUCUUGUUAAUUGAGAUCGAGGAAAACCUAGAAAAGGAGGAAAUUUAUUGGGUUCAACGAAGCCGUGCAAACUGGCUGAAAUUUGGAGAUCGCAAUACCAAAUUUUUCAAUAAUUUCACCAUUGCACGGAAAAAAAGAAAUCACAUCUGA
rnacentral:rRNA from 1 species